rnacentral:rRNA from 1 species
AGAGUUUGAUCAUGGCUCAGGAUGAACGCUAGCGGGAGGCUUAACACAUGCAAGUCGAGGGGCAGCACGGGGUAGCAAUACUUUGGUGGCGACCGGCGCACGGGUGAGUAACGCGUAUGUAACCUACCCUGUACAGGGGGAUAGCCCGGAGAAAUUCGGAUUAAUACCCCAUAAAGAUAUCGAGAGGCAUCUUUUGGUAUUUAAAGUUUCGACGGUACGGGAUGGGCAUGCGUAACAUUAGCUAGUUGGUAAGGUAACGGCUUACCAAGGCUACGAUGUUUAGGGGUCCUGAGAGGGUGAUCCCCCACACUGGUACUGAGACACGGACCAGACUCCUACGGGAGGCAGCAGUGAGGAAUAUUGGUCAAUGGGCGUAAGCCUGAACCAGCCAUCCCGCGUGAAGGAAGAAGGCGCUAUGCGUUGUAAACUUCUUUUCCAGGGAAAGAAAACCCCCGACGUGUCGGGGUUUGCCGGUACCCUGGGAAUAAGCAUCGGCUAACUCCGUGCCAGCAGCCGCGGUAAUACGGAGGAUGCAAGCGUUAUCCGGAUUUAUUGGGUUUAAAGGGUGCGUAGGCGGAUUAAUAAGUCAGUGGUGAAAACCUUCAGCUUAACUGGAGAACUGCCAUUGAUACUGUUAGUCUUGAGUACGGUCAAGGUAGGCGGAAUGUGUAAUGUAGCGGUGAAAUGCUUAGAUAUUACACAGAACACCGAUUGCGAAGGCAGCUUACUGGGCCAUUACUGACGCUGAGGCACGAAAGCGUGGGGAGCGAACAGGAUUAGAUACCCUAGUAGUCC